UUGAUAGUAGGUCCCAGUACCUGUACUCUAGCAACUACAAGCUACAGCUGUGUGUGCUGUCAUCUCUUGGAGAGUUUGCUCAUAAUCUCCAGUUAGAAGGGAAUGACUUGAGUGCCCUAGUCAACAUUUGUUUACCAUAUCUAAGUGACCGUCAGCCUCAAAGUUUACAACAGGCUGCACUGGAUUCCUUUUAUUAUUUCUGUCUCCUGGAGCCAGAUGCAUUAUGGUAUACUUUAAAUUGUACCUACUCCCCAACACAGCUGACUCCACUUGGGCCUGAGUUUGCUCCCUUUAAGUUUCCUGUUAGCACUGAGAGUAAAAGCUUUGCUAAGAACAUAACUUUUCUACUGGAGAAAUAUUUCAGCUGACAUUGAAUGUCAAUCUGUUAUGUUUCAAGAUCAUGUUAAUUUAAAUCGUUGUUGUCUGGGCCAUCCAUUUUCACUGCUAUAUUAAAUAUGGAAAUUAUAAGACUUGAUGGUGU
rnacentral:sRNA from 1 species